GUGCUUGAUUUGAUAGGACAUAUACUAAAAUUGGAACAAGACAGAAAAGAUUAGCAUGGCCCUUGUGCAAGGAUGACAUGGAAAUUCAUAAAUCAUUCCAUAUUUUU